rnacentral:rRNA from 1 species
UACGGGGGGGGCAAGCGUUGUUCGGAAUUACUGGGCGUAAAGGGCUCGUAGGUGGCCAACUAAGUCAGACGUGAAAUCCCUCGGCUUAACCGGGGAACUGCGUCUGAUACUGGAUGGCUUGAGUUUGGGAGAGGGAUGCGGAAUUCCAGGUGUAGCGGUGAAAUGCGUAGAUAUCUGGAGGAACACCGGUGGCGAAGGCGGCAUCCUGGACCAACACUGACGCUGAGGAGCGAAAGCCAGGGGAGCGAACAGG